rnacentral:rRNA from 1 species
CUGAGUACGGCGGAACACGUGAAAUUCCGUCGGAAUCCGGGAGGACCAUCUCCCAAGGCUAAAUACUCCCUAGUGACCGAUAGUGAACCAGUACCGUGAGGGAAAGGUGAAAAGCACCCCGGAAGGGGAGUGAAACAGUUCCUGAAACCGUGUGCCUACAAGUAGUUAGAGCCCGUUAAUGGGUGAUAGCGUGCCUUUUGUAGAAUGAACCGGCGAGUUACGAUUUGUUGCAAGGUUAAGCGGAAAAAGCGGAGCCGUAGCGAAAGCGAGUCUGAAUAGGGCGCAUAAGUAACAGGUCGUAGACCCGAAACCAGGUGAUCUACCCAUGUCCAGGAUGAAGGUAAGGUAAUACUUACUGGAGGUCCGAACCCACGCACGUUGAAAAGUGCGGGGAUGAGGUGUGGGUAGCGGAGAAAUUCCAAUCGAACUUGGAGAUAGCUGGUUCUCUCCGAAAUAGCUUUAGGGCUAGCCUCGAGGUAAAGAGUCAUGGAGGUAGAGCACUGUUUGGACUAGGGGCCCUUCUCGGGUUACCGAAUUCAGAUAAACUCCGAAUGCCAUGUACUUAUACUCGGGAGUCAGACUGCGAGUGAUAAGAUCCGUAGUCGAAAGGGAAACAGCCCAGACCACCAGUUAAGGUCCCCAAAUAUAUGUUAAGUGGAAAAGGAUGUGGGGUUGCUUAGACAACCAGGAUGUUGGCUUAGAAGCAGCCACCAUUGAAAGAGUGCGUAAUAGCUCACUGGUCGAGUGACCCCGCGCCGAAAAUGUACCGGGGCUAAACAUAUUACCGAAACUGUGGAUGAACCUCUUUAGAGGUUCGUGGUAGGAGAGCGUUCUAAGGGCGGUGAAGUCAGACCGGAAGGACUGGUGGAGCGCUUAGAAGUGAGAAUGCCGGUAUGAGUAGCGAAAGAAGGGUGAGAAUCCCUUCCACCGAAUAUCUAAGGUUUCCUGAGGAAGGCUCGUCCGCUCAGGGUUAGUCGGGACCUAAGCCGAGGCCGAUAGGCGUAGGCGAUGGACAACAGGUAGAGAUUCCUGUACCAGUGCUAAUUGUUUAACCGAUGGGGUGACACAGAAGGAUAGGGAAUCGCACGAAUGGAAAUGUGCGUCCAAGCAGUGAGUGUGAGAAGUAGGCAAAUCCGCUUCUCGCGAAGCAUGAGCUGUGAUGGGGAAGGAAAUUAAGUACGGAAGUUCCUGAUUUCACGCUGUCAAGAAAAGCCUCUAGGAAGAGUAGUACUGCCCGUACCGCAAACCGACACAGGUAGAUGAGGAGAGAAUCCUAAGGUGAGCGAGAGAACUCUCGUUAAGGAACUCGGCAAAAUGACCCCGUAACUUCGGGAGAAGGGGUGCUCUAUUAGGGUGCAAGCCCGAGAGAGCCGCAGUGAAUAGGCCCAGGCGACUGUUUAGCAAAAACACAGGUCUCUGCAAAACCGUAAGGUGACGUAUAGGGGCUGACGCCUGCCCGGUGCUGGAAGGUUAAGAGGAGUGCUUAGCUUCGGCGAAGGUACGAAUUGAAGCCCCAGUAAACGGCGGCCGUAACUAUAACGGUCCUAAGGUAGCGAAAUUCCUUGUCGGGUAAGUUCCGACCCGCACGAAAGGCGCAACGAUCUGGGCACUGUCUCAACGAGAGACUCGGUGAAAUUAUAGUACCUGUGAAGAUGCAGGUUACCCGCGACAGGACGGAAAGACCCCGUGGAGCUUUACUGCAACCUGAUAUGGAAUGUUUGUACCGCUUGUACAGGAUAGGUAGGAGCCGAAGAGACGUGUGCGCUAGCAUACGAGGAGGCAAUGGUGGGAUACUACCCUGGCUGUAUGACCAUUCUAACCCGCCACGCUUAGCGCGUGGGGAGACAGUGUCAGGUGGGCAGUUUGACUGGGGCGGUCGCCUCCUAAAGAGUAACGGAGGCGCCCAAAGGUUCCCUCAGAAUGGAUGGAAAUCAUUCGCAGAGUGUAAAGGCACAAGGGAGCUUGACUGCGAGACUGACAAGUCGAGCAGGGACGAAAGUCGGGCUUAGUGAUCCGGUGGUUCCGCAUGGAAGGGCCAUCGCUCAACGGAUAAAAGCUACCCCGGGGAUAACAGGCUUAUCUCCCCCAAGAGUCCACAUCGACGGGGAGGUUUGGCACCUCGAUGUCGGCUCGUCGCAUCCUGGGGCUGUAGUCGGUCCCAAGGGUUGGGCUGUUCGCCCAUUAAAGCGGCACGCGAGCUGGGUUCAGAACGUCGUGAGACAGUUCGGUCCCUAUCCGUCGCGGGCGCAGGAAAUUUGAGAGGAGCUGUCCUUAGUACGAGAGGACCGGGAUGGACACACCGCUGGUGUACCAGUUGUUCCGCCAGGAGCAUCGCUGGGUAGCUAUGUGUGGCAGGG